GAUCACGACGCCUACGGAUUUUUCACCGACCGAGAACCAACUCCUUCCCAAUUUAAAAUGGCUCUCCCGGCAUUAUUUUCCUCGACGGAUACUCAAGUUAAGCAAUUUCUCGUUGACAAAUUUGGUCGUUCUUGAUUUUUCAAGGAGUACAAUUACCCACGAUUGGGACGGAUGGAGACAUAUUAAGAGAGCUAAGAAAUUGAAAGUUCUUGACCUUUCAAGGUGUGGGCACUUGACCAAGACUCCUAAUUUCUCUGGACUCCCGAUGUUGGAGAGAUUAAUUCUCGAAAGUUGU